rnacentral:tRNA from 1 species
UUUGGAGUAGACAAAUGGGUAUGUCAUAGAUUUUUGGUGUCUAAGAUUGAGUGUUCGAAUCACUCCUCCAAAA